GCAUUGAGACAGCACAGCUUUCACUGUGUGAUAGGAUCACAUUCACUAUGGAAACCAAAAGCAGCCUCAAGCUUCUGCUCCCUCUGCCCAUCCUCCAGCUGGAAUUGUAUGCAGCCACCGCCACACCCAGGUCAAGUGGUGUCAGGAAUUGAAUCCAAGACUUCAUGCACAGUGGGCAAGAACUCAACUGAGCCACAUCCCUGUCCCUGCUCUCUUCCAGUUAGGUUUAACAAGCAGUCACACUGUGCUACGGGUACUAUUACUACUACUUUUGCUUUACAGGCA
rnacentral:lncRNA from 1 species